rnacentral:snoRNA from 1 species
AACCCAUGGUGAGGGAACCUUCUCAGUAAGUCCUCGUAUCUCUCCCAUGCAUCGUAGAGGGUUUCUAAAUCCAUUUACACAAAAAAGAGAUGUCAUUAUGUAAUU